GGCUUAACACAUGCAAGUCGAGGGGCAUCAGUUUGGUUUGCUUGCAAACCAAAGCUGGCGACCGGCGCACGGGUGAGUAACACGUAUCCAACCUGCCUCAUACUCGGGGAUAGCCUUUCGAAAGAAAGAUUAAUAUCCGAUAGCAUAUAUUUCCCGCAUGGGUUUUAUAUUAAAGAAAUUCGGUAUGAGAUGGGGAUGCGUUCCAUUAGUUUGUUGGCGGGGUAACGGCCCACCAAGACUACGAUGGAUAGGGGUUCUGAGAGGAAGGUCCCCCACAUUGGAACUGAGACACGGUCCAAACUCCUACGGGAGGCAGCAGUGAGGAAUAUUGGUCAAUGGACGCGAGUCUGAACCAGCCAAGUAGCGUGAAGGAUGACUGCCCUAUGGGUUGUAAACUUCUUUUAUAUGGGAAUAAAGUGGUCCACGUGUGGAUUUUUGUAUGUACCAUAUGAAUAAGGAUCGGCUAACUCCGUGCCAGCAGCCGCGGUAAUACGGAGGAUCCGAGCGUUAUCCGGAUUUAUUGGGUUUAAAGGGAGCGUAGGCGGAUUGUUAAGUCAGUUGUGAAAGUUUGCGGCUCAACCGUAAAAUUGCAGUUGAUACUGGCAGUCUUGAGUGCAGUAGAGGUGGGCGGAAUUCGUGGUGUAGCGGUGAAAUGCUUAGAUAUCACGAAGAACUCCGAUUGCGAAGGCA
rnacentral:rRNA from 1 species